UACGAGGGGGGCGAGCGUUGUUCGGAAUUAUUGGGCGUAAAGGGUGCGUAGGCGGCCUGACAAGUCUGAUGUGAAAUCCCUGGGCUCAACCCAGGGCCUGCAUCGGAAACUGUCGGGCUUGAGUAUGGGAGAGGUGAGUGGAAUUUCCGGUGUAGCGGUGAAAUGCGUAGAUAUCAGGAGGAACACCAAUGGCGAAGGCAGCUCGCUGGGACGUGACUGACGCUGAGACGCGAAAGCGUGGGGAGCAAACAGG
rnacentral:rRNA from 1 species